UUGGGAGUGCUGGGGUGAGGGGACGGUACUUCCAGGUUCGGGAGAUCCCGACUCCACCCCACCAUAGGCCACGCUUCUAUCCCUCCUUGGGCCGCACCCACGGCCCGGGUGGCUUCGCUGACUCCACCCUAGGCCACGCCUCCUAUCUGGCUCCGCCGGGAGCCAACCUGUAUCCGGUCCCAAAGGUCCAGGACUGAGACUAGGUGUGCCUCAUUCAGAACUGAAUCCUUAGGACCCAGCAUGGUGCCUGGCACAUACUACUGGACUUCCCUGGUGGUGCAGUGGUUAAGAAUCCGCCUACCAAUGCAGGGCACACAGGUUCGACCCCUCAUCUGGGAAGAUCCCACAUGCCGCGGAGCAACUAAGCCUGUGUGCCACAGCUACUGAGCCUGUGCUCUGGAGCCUGGGAGCCACAACUACUGAGCCCACGUGCCACAACUGCUGAAGCCCACGCGCCUAGAGCCUGGGCUCCGCAACAAGAGAAGCCACCACAAUGAGAAGCCUGCGCACCUCAACGAAGAGUAGCCCCUGCUCUCUGCAACUAGAGAAAGCCCGCGUGCAGCAACGAAGACCCAAAGCAGCCAAAACUA